GACGAACGCUGGCGGCGUGCUUAACACAUGCAAGUCGAACGGAACUCUUUGGAUCGAGACUUCGGUCAAGUGAAUCUGAGUUUAGUGGCGGACGGGUGAGUAACGCGUGAGGAACCUGCCUUUUCAGAGGGGGACAACAGUUGGAACGACUGCUAAUACCGGAUAGGUAAUCGAAAGGCAUCUUUCGAUUAUUAAAGAUGGGACACAUCGCUUGAGGAUGGAUCUGCGCUGCAUUAGCUAGUUGGUGAGGUAACGGCCCACCAAGGCAUCGAUGGGUAGGGGUUCUGAGAGGAAGGUCCCCCACACUGGAACUGAGACACGGUCCAGACUCCUACGGGAGGCAGCAGUGAGGAAUAUUGGUCAAUGGACGCAAGUCUGAACCAGCCAAGUAGCGUGCAGGACGACGGCCCUAUGGGUUGUAAACUGCUUUUAUGUGGGAAUAAAGUCAGGGACGUGUCCCUGUUUGCAUGGUACCACAGGAAUAAGGACCGGCUAAUUCCGUG
rnacentral:rRNA from 1 species